CCUAAACCCCCCCCCAAAAUACCAUUAAUUUUCAUGAACCCCUAAUUUAUAAUGAAUGACUCCAUAUUUAUAUGGAAGACACCAUGCUAGGAUUAGUAACAAGAAUUUAUAAUUCUCCAAAAUGCAAAUAUAAACCAACAUGGAUAGACCAUUGGUAGUUACCGAACCUAAAUUUACUGCAAUAACACCCACAAGAAAACUCUGCAGUACUUACUCGUUAACCUAACACCAGCGCAUUACAGGAAAGAUUAAAAAAAAGAGAAGGAAUUCGGCAAAUGACGGCCCCGCCUGUUUACCAAAAACAUCGCCUCUUGACUUAUAAUAAGAGGUCCAGCCUGCCCAGUGAAUUUUAAACGGCCGCGGUAUCCUAACCGCGCGAAGGUAGCAUAAUCACUUGUUCUUUAAAUGGGGACUCGUAUCAACGGCAUCACGAGGGUUUUACUGUCUCCUCUUUUUGAUCAGUGAAAUUGAUCUUCCCGUGAAGAAGCGGGGAUAUUUUUAUAAGACGAGAAGACCCCAUGGAGCUUAAAACCAAAUAACAACUUAACUACUUAUCCCACAAUAAAUUUAAGCCCUGUUAUAAGGUUUUUGGUUGGGGUGACCGCGGAGUAAAGCACAUCCUCCACGACGGAAAGAACAUAAUCUUUAUUUAAGAACCACACUUCUAGAAAUUAGUAUACUAACGUUUACUGACCCGACAAUCGAUCAACGGACCAAGUUACCCUGGGGAUAACAGCGCAAUCUACUUCAAGAGCUCAUAUCGACAAGUAGGCUUACGACCUCGAUGUUGGAUCAGGGUAUCCCGGUGGUGCAGCCGCUACCGAAGGUUCGUU
rnacentral:rRNA from 1 species